AGAGUUUGAUCGAGGCUCAGAACGAACGCUGGCGGCAGGCUUAACACAUGCAAGUCGAACGAUAUAGUGGCAGACGGGUGAGUAACGCGUGGAAACGUGCCUUUCACUACGGAAUAGCUCCGGGAAACUGGAAUUAAUACCGUAUACGCCCUCCGGGGGAAAGAUUUAUCGGUGAAAGAUCGGUCCGCGUUAGAUUAGAUAGUUGGUGGGGUAAUGGCCUACCAAGUCUACGAUCUAUAGCUGGUCUGAGAGGAUGAUCAGCCACACUGGGACUGAGACACGGCCCAGACUCCUACGGGAGGCAGCAGUGGGGAAUAUUGCACAAUGGGCGCAAGCCUGAUGCAGCCAUGCCGCGUGAAUGAUGAAGGCCUUAGGGUUGUAAAAUUCUUUCGCUAGGGAUGAUAAUGACAGUAACCAGUAAAGAAGCCCCGGCUAACUUCGUGCCAGCAGCCGCGGUAAUACGAAGGGGGCUAGCGUUGUUCGGAAUUACUGGGCGUAAAGCGCGCGUAGGCGGGCUAGUCAGUUAGAGGUGAAAUCCCAGAGCUCAACCUCGGAACUGCAUUUGAAACUGGUAGUCUAGAGAUCAGGAGAGGUCAGUGGAAUACCGAGUGUAGAGGUGAAAUUCGUAGAUAUUCGGUGGAACACCAGUGGCGAAGGCGACUGACUGGACUGGUACUGACGCUGAGGUGCGAAAGUGUGGGGAGCAAACAGGAUUAGAUACCCUGGUAGUCCACACCGUAAACGAUGAAUGCUAGUUGUCUGCAUGCAUGCAUGUAGGUGACGCAGCUAACGCAUUAAGCAUUCCGCCUGGGGAGUACGGCCGCAAGGUUAAAACUCAAAGAAAUUGACGGGGGCCCGCACAAGCGGUGGAGCAUGUGGUUUAAUUCGAAGCAACGCGCAGAACCUUACCAGCCCUUGACAUGUUUGAUUACCAGAGAUGGUUUUCUUCAGUUCGGCUGGCUACCACACAGGUGCUGCAUGGCUGUCGUCAGCUCGUGUCGUGAGAUGUUGGGUUAAGUCCCGCAACGAGCGCAACCCUCGCCAUUAGUUGCCAGCAGGUUAAGCUGGGCACUCUGAUGGCACUGCCGGUGAUAAGCCGGAGGAAGGUGGGGAUGACGUCAAGUCCUCAUGGCCCUUACGGGUUGGGCUACACACGUGCUACAAUGGCAGUGACAAUGGGUUAAUCCCAAAAAACUGUCUCAGCUCGGAUUGUCGUCUGCAACUCGACGGCAUGAAGUCGGAAUCGCUAGUAAUCGCGUAACAGCAUGACGCGGUGAAUACGUUCCCGGGCCUUGUACACACCGCCCGUCACACCAUGGGAGUUGGGUUUACCCGAAGAUUGUGAGCUAACUUCGGAGGCAGCAAGCCACGGUAGGUUCAGCGACUGGGAUGAAGUCGUAACAAGGUA
rnacentral:rRNA from 1 species